CGGCCGCGUCGACGAGGAACACCAGUGGCGAAGGCGACCACCUGGGCAGUUACUGACGCUGAGGAGCGAAAGCAUGGGUAGCGAACAGGAUUAGAUACCCUGGUAGUCCAUGCCGUAAACGGUGGGCGCUAGGUGUGAGGGUCUUUUCACGACCUUCGUGCCGUAGCUAACGCAUUAAGCGCCCCGCCUGGGGAGUACGGCCGCAAGGCUAAAACUCAAAGGAAUUGACGGGGUGUCGACGCGGCCG
rnacentral:rRNA from 1 species